UGGCGAACGGGUGAGUAACGCGUGGGUAACCUGCCUCGUACAGGGGGAUAACAGUUAGAAAUGGCUGCUAAUACCGCAUAAGACCACAGUACUGCAUGGUACAGUGGUAAAAACUCCGGUGGUAUGAGAUGGACCCGCGUCUGAUUAGGUAGUUGGUGAGGUAACGGCCCACCAAGCCGACGAUCAGUAGCCGACCUGAGAGGGUGACCGGCCACAUUGGGACUGAGACACGGCCCAG
rnacentral:rRNA from 1 species